rnacentral:lncRNA from 1 species
AUUCCAUUCAAGCUACUAUGAGCCAGCAGAAAGUACUGAGGAAUCUGAAACACGAUGGGGAAGCCUUUUCCCAAUGAGGAGUGGCAUUAGUGUAAUAUAAAAACAAGACCUUACAACAGUUCUAAAAUGACUUGCUUUUCCCUCUGUUCGGAUACAGGAUAUUUUUUUUUUUCAUAACAGUUUAUUACAAUGACUAUCGGAAUAUUUUGCCUAUGUCAAUUUCUGUUUUUCAGACUAAGUUGACCUGUGGCCCAGAUUUCAUACAUGUAUUGAAUUUGUAGAAUUUCAAAAACUCCAUCACAGGUGCUAGAUAAAUAAUAAUUAAGGAUCUUUUUAUUUUCAGAUCACUGACCUAAAGAUAUAUGUGUUAAUGCC